rnacentral:rRNA from 1 species
UUCGAUGAUACGCGAGGAACCUUACCCGGGCUUGAAAUGCAUCUGACCGGCCUUGAAAGAGGCACUCCCUUCGGGGCAGAUGUGUAGGUGCUGCAUGGUUGUCGUCAGCUCGUGCCGUGAGGUGUCGGCUUAAGUGCCAUAACGAGCGCAACCCCAUCAUUAGUUACCAUCAGGUAAGGCUGGGGACUCUAAUGAGACUGCCAUCGUAAGAUGUGAGGAAGGUGGGGGAUGACGUCAAAUCAGCACGGCCCUUACGUCCGGGGCGACACACGUGUUACAAUGGGUGGUACAAAGGGCAGCUACCUGGCGACAGGAUGCUAAUCUCGAAAACCGCUCUCAGUUCGGAUCGGAGUCUGCAACUCGACUCCGUGAAGCUGGAUUCGCUAGUAAUCGCGCAUCAGCCACGGCGCGGUGAAUACGUUCCCGGGCCUU